GAUGAAGAACGCAGCGAAAUGCGAUAAGUAGUGUGGAUUGCAGAAUUCAGUGAAUCAUCGAAUCUUUGAACGCACAUUGCGCCCCUUGGUAUUCCAUGGGGCAUGCCUGUUCGAGCGUCAUUUGUACCUUCAAGCUCUGCUUGGUGUUGGGUGUUUGUCCUUGCUCUAGUGGCGGGACUCGCCUUAAAGUAAUUGGCAGCCAGUGUUUUGGUUUUGAAGCGCAGCACAAGUCGCGAUUCAAGUCUAUACGCUAGUUUCCACAAGUCUUUUAUCACUUUUGACCUCGGAUCAGGUAGGGAUACCCGCUGAACUUAAGCAUAUCAAUAAGCGGAGGA
rnacentral:misc_RNA from 1 species